UACGUAGGGUGCAAGCGUUGUCCGGAAUUAUUGGGCGUAAAGAGCUCGUAGGCGGUUCGGUAAGUCGAAUGUGAAAUCUCCACGCUCAACGUGGAGGGGUCAUUCGAAACUGCCGUGACUUGAGUACGGUAGGGGAGUGUGGAAUUCCCGGUGUAGCGGUGAAAUGCGCAGAGAUCGGGAGGAACACCCGUAGCGAAGGCGGCACUCUGGGCCGAUACUGACGCUGAGGAGCGAAAGCGUGGGGAGCGAACAGG
rnacentral:rRNA from 1 species